rnacentral:rRNA from 1 species
AUUGAACGCUGGCGGCAGGCCUAACACAUGCAAGUCGAACGAGUGGCGGACGGGUGAGUAAUGUCUGGGAAACUGCCUGAUGGAGGGGGAUACCUACUGGAAACGGUAGCUAAUACCGCAUACCAUCGGAUGUGCCCAGAUGGGAUGAGCUAGUAGGUGGGGUAAUGGCUCACCUAGGCGACGCUCCCUAGCUGGACGGAGAGGUGGACCGGCCACACUGGAACGUAGACACGGUCCAGACUCCUACGGGAGGAAGCAGUGGGAAAUAUUGCCAAAUGGGCGAAAGCCUGAUGCAGCCAGGCCGCGUGUGUGAAGAAGGCCUUCGGGUUGUAAAGUACUUUCAGCGAGGAGGCGUUACUCGCAGAAGAAGCACCGGCUAACUCCGUGCCAGCAGCCGCGGUAAUUC